rnacentral:rRNA from 1 species
UACGUAGGCAGCAAGCGUUGUUCGGAGUUACUGGGCGUAAAGGGUGUGUAGGCGGUUAUCCAAGUUGGAUGUGAAAGCCUUGAGCUUAACUCAAGAAAUGCAUUCAGGACUGGGUGACUAGAGGACCGGAGAGGAUAGUGGAAUUCCCAGUGUAGUGGUGAAAUACGUAGAGAUUGGGAAGAACACCAGUGGCGAAGGCGGCUAUCUGGACGGUUUCUGACGCUAAGACGCGAAAGCGUGGGGAGCAAACAGG